rnacentral:rRNA from 1 species
UACGGGGGGAGCAAACGUUGUUCGGAAUUACUGGGCGUAAAGGGCGCGUAGGCGGUCCUGUAAGUGGUGUGUGAAAUCCGAUGGCUCAACCAUCGAGCUGCGCUCCAUACUGCAGGACUUGAGUACAGCAGAGGAAAGUGGAAUUCCCGGUGUAGCGGUGAAAUGCGUAGAGAUCGGCAGGAACACCAGUGGCGAAGGCGGCCACCUAGCCCGCACCUGACGCUGAGGCGCGACAGCGUGGGGAGCGAACUGG